rnacentral:rRNA from 1 species
AUUGAACUCUGGCGGCAGGCCUAACACAUGCAAGUCGCACGAGUGGCGGACGGGUGAGUAAUGUCUGGGAAACUGCCUGAUGGCGGGGGCUAACUACUGGAAACGGUAGCUAAUACCGCAUACCAUCGGAUGUGCCCAGAUGGGAUUAGCUAGUAGGUGGGGUAAAGGCUCACCUAGGCGACGAUCCCUAGCUGGUCUGAGCGGAUGACAAGCCAAACGGGAACUGAGAAACGGUCCAGACUCCUAAGGGAGGCAGCAGUGGGGAAUAUGGCACAAUGGGCGCAAGCAUGAUGCAGCCAUGCCGCGUGUAUGAAGAAGGCCUUCGGGUUGUAAAGUACUUUCAGCGGGGAGGCGUUACCCGCAGAAGAAGCACCGGCUAACUCCGGGCCAGCCGCCGCGGUAAUUC